GAGCGACCAGGAGGCAGAGAAAAUGUUCAAAGGGCAAACGGGAGUGCACAGCUUGCAAAGGGAUAUUUGCGCAAGGAGAAACAAAAACCUUCAAUCCUGGGCAGGGCUCCCAACUGACAAGAAGAAUCUGGACCCUUCCCAGGGGACGUGGAGGCCAUAAAGACUGCUAUUGCAAAUGCCAACAACUCUGGCUGAGGUGGAACGACUGAAGGGAUUUACUGGCAGGCUGGGCAGAUCCCUGCAGAGAAAGAAAAUCAGGUCCUCAGAGGACGCGGAGGAGAGAUGACGAAGAUCCCGUUCCCAACGGCUCCUGAGCCGCCUCCCUGCCCCAGCCCCGCUCUCCCUGCCGGGGUUCCCGGGGCUCCGUCCGGCCCCGUCCGUGCGCAUUUCGGUGUUCAAUAAACGAGCCUUGCCUUUGC